rnacentral:rRNA from 1 species
UACGGAGGGUGCGAGCGUUGUCCGGAAUCACUGGGCGUAAAGGGCCAGUAGGCGGCCAACUAAGUCGGAUGUGAAAUCCCCAGGCUUAACCUGGGAACUGCAUCCGAUACUGGAUGGCUUGAAUUCGGGAGAGGGAUGCAGAAUUCCAGGUGUAGCGGUGAAAUGCGUAGAUAUCUGGAGGAAUACCGGUGGCGAAGGCGGCAUCCUGGACCGACAUUGACGCUGAACGGCGAAAGCUAGGGGAGCAAACGGG